AUGAGUUAUCUUGUUGAGCUUGUUUUGUUAGAAGUAGAGCAGCACCAGAAAAAGGAAAAGGGAGAGCGAAAAACAAGCAAAUCAAGGCAAGUGAACGCAACACAUGGGCCUCAACUACGCUUGUUCGGCCGGCCCAUGCGAACGAGCCUAGGGCCUGCAUACGGCAGCACCAGAAAAAGGAAAAGGGAGAGCGAAAGAAAACCAAAUCAAGGCGAGCGAACGCACGCGCGGGCGUCGACUGCCCUUGUUGGGCGGGCUCAUGCGAACGAGCAGCGCCUGUCCUGCGGAAAGACGUUAUUUGCAGGCCCAAACCCAACACGUCGUUCACUGGGGAUCGUGUCCACCAUCCUCGGCCUCGGAUCCUCUGUUAGCGGUUGCCGGAAAGAUUUGAUGGGGAACCAUCUGAGUCGCCGUCCCGGACGGAUCUCGGACGACGCGCGCGGAGAAGGAGUAGCCACCGUUCUCAUCAGCUGCCGCUGCAACCCAAGCUUGGUCUGCCACCGCAAGGCGUCGGGCCAUGGAGUCACGGUGCGGCUCUGGGAUGAAGAAACCGCGCCGGGAGCGGCCCGCGCCGACCCCUCCGGCGCCGUCGGCCGUCGGAGACCAACCCGCGGCAGUUCAAGGAGGAAAUCUGGAGACCCGUUCGGAGACCUUCCGGAGGAACUGCUGCCCAUGAUCCUGUCAAAGCUGGAUACGAAGCAGGCCGCGGUGACCAGUGCUCUGUCUAGCGCAUGGAGGCACGCCUGGAAACUCUCCCCCAGGCUGACGGGGGAGCGGCAGUACCGCGCAUUUCUCGACAGGCGGCGGCAUGUCCAGCGAUUCAUCGACGCCGUCAACGGGAUACUGCAUCAGCGCCUCGGCGACCCGGUCGAACAGCUCGAGCUCAGGCUUGACGUCGAAGCGCUUGCCCAGGUCGGCCACCAUCUGGAUGACUGGGUUCGCUUCGCGGUCUCUUCGCAGACCAAGGGCCUAGUUCUUCACGUGCCGCCGGUGACCCGCUUUCAAGCAGCUUCUUAUGAACAACACGUGUUUCCCUUGCAACUGCUCGACGCCGGAGGCGGUACUUCCAGCCUGCAACAUGUGCACCUUUCCUAUGUGUCGCUCAAAGUGCCUCAAUCUAUACGUUUUCCGAACCUAAGGAAGCUUGGUCUAUACUCUGCAUUGGUGCCGACAAAUGAUUUGAACCGUGUAUUAUCAAAUUGCUCAAGUUUAGAGUGGCUGGAUUUGUGCAUGGUCUAUCUCAAGGAUGGACUCAAAGUGGAUAGGCCGCUGUGCCGCCUGAAAUACCUGCGCCUGGCUGACUGCAGGGUAACGAAGAUACAACUCAAUGCUAGCAAGCUUACAAGUUUUAUAUUCAAGGAGAGUCAAGGGCCUAUGUCUACUCCUGCUGUGCCUAUGCCUAACAUCAACCUUGUACCAAAGUUUCCCUGGAGACCAGCGAGCACUUCCAGGUUUUCUCAUCUCACGCACCUACACUUGUUUUUCACCAUCACCGAUCGACAUGUCAGCAGCAUCCUCUCUAUCGCAAGCAUCUUAGAGGCUGCUCCGUUCCUGAAGGAAUUAGAUGCAGAGUUCAUUGCAUUUUGCUACAGGUCUGCUGGUGAAGGGAAUCUUUGUGAACAGCCUCUAAGCAGCUUCGCACAUGGUCAGUGCAAAUACAAGUGCCUAGAGAGGAUGAGAGUUCGUAAUUUCACAGGUACAAAGAGUCAGGUAGGAGUUAUGGUACACAUUGUGGAAAAUGCCCCUGCUUUGGAGGUUUUGAUAGUAGACCCAAUCAGGCUGCAUGCUGGAUACACUGGUCAUGUUAAAGCAGCUGCUCUCUCAGCCGCCCGUCGCAUUGCCUUCAAAUCUAUCAGUGGGAAACUAUCAGCCAAGACAAAGUUCGCUGUGUUAUGA
rnacentral:rRNA from 1 species